GGCCGGUUCAGUCAAAUCGUUUCAGAAUCAUAAUUUGGUCUGCUGAUAUCCUUAUCGUGAUGAACAUGGAGCAUGGCAAGACCGCACAAUCCCUCGCCUCUCAUGCAUGCUCUUUUCCAAGUUUUCAGUCGUUUCAGGACAUUCUGUGUUUCUAAAGGUAGCACAUUAUCAUCAACACAAUGAUCAAUGUCUUCUUCCAAUUCCUUC
rnacentral:lncRNA from 1 species